GAGGCCGCGGGCCAAUGACGUCACGGUCGGCUCACGGCGCGCGCACGCUAGUGCGCGUCCUCGGAUAAUGAGGAAUUCCUGGAUGCUCCGCGCGGGCCCGCGGUGGGCGCUGCGAGGCUUCACCGUGUCGUCGCGGGCGGAGGGGGCGUGAAGACCGUGCUACGGUGGCCGCCGAGGGACAACACUACGGCUCCCACGCUGGGACAAACGCCUCGGGCCCGGCCCGGGAGCGCCCUCCCCUCCGGGCCAGAGCCAGCCGGGGGCAACUGAAGGGCCGCGCGAAGCGACCCCGUCCUCGGCGGCAUGUGCCCGCCUUGGCGUCGCACCCCCGGGGCACAAGCUCAGCCGCAGGCCCGGUCCCCAGCACCGUCGGCCCGCCGCAUGGUUCCGGACACCGGCACCGCCACGGAGAGGGCACCGGGCCAGCACCUCCCCCAAGGCUCAGCUGAGGGCUCCUAGACGCUGAUGACACCUAUGCUGGCCAUCCGGACACUGCACCGCCACUGCAAAACAGCACUGCCGCCCAGGCCCAAUGCCGGUCAUGCCCAUCCCGCGGCGGGUGCGCUCCUUCCACGGCCCGCACACCACCUGCCUGCACGCAGCCUGCGGACCGCUGAGAACCUCUCACCUGGCUCGCACCAAGUACAACAACUUCGAUGUUUAUGUCAAGACCCGCUGGCUCUAUGGCUUUAUACGCUUCCUGCUCUACUUCAGCUGCAGCCUCUUCACAGCGGCCCUUUGGGGCGCGCUGGCCGCGCUCUUCUGCCUACAGUACCUGGGUGUCCGCGUACUGCUGCGCUUCCAGCUCAAGCUGUCAGUGCUGCUGCUGCUGCUGGGGCGCAGGCGCGUGGACUUCCGCCUCAUGAACGAGCUGCUUAUCUAUGGCAUCCAUGUGACCAUGCUGCUGGUUGGGGGGCUGGGCUGGUGCUUCAUGGUCUUUGUGGACAUGUGAGGGCCCACCCUCCAUGGGGCUCCUGAUUGUGCCAUACCUAGCUUCUCUCUUGGAGGGUGGGGCUGGUAGGGGCUCCAUCCUGGAGGUAAGGCCUGAAGCACACACUCCCAUUGAGGGGAGAAAAGGGCUGAGACUACUCUGUAAUGGGAACAGCACACAGUCUCGCUGUUGGCUUCUGCGCUGUCCUUGCUGUGCACGUUACCAGAUGUGCUGUCCCCGUUAGCCUCUUGCCUUGGGUUGCCUGUGUGUUUUCAGGUUGUCCAGUGGGUGGCCUGUCUGUCUUUUUUCCACCUUGAGACCUUCUGUGUGACAUUCUCACCAACAUCAGGCCCACCCAGUGGGACACAAAGGGGUGCCUUUGGGCUGCACAGCCCCUUUAUGUGCCCUCCUCCUGGCUGUCCUCAGGGACCCACCUGGCUAUACAAGCAGACAUACUACUGCCACUAACUGCGCCCACUUUGAGCCCAUGGACCACUCUCUGCUGUUCACAAGUAGCCGUGUCAGUCUUGAACCCCAAGUCAGGCCUCAGAGUCACCUUGGUUUGCAUAGGUGCAGUUUAGCAGAACAGCAUAUAUGGCAUUGGCUAGACCCUGGUACAAGGGAGCACAGGCCCCAAGGCUUGAACUCCAGAGCAGGGGGCUGGUCCACACCCUGGGCAGGUCUGUGUGUCAAGCCAUGCUGGAACUCUGCAAACUGAAAGGGCCUAGAAAAACACUUGUGCUUAACCUGGGGAGUUUUUACAGUCUCUGAGGGAUGGGGUCUCCAGCAGCCUCCCAGAGUCUUGGCCAGAUCUGUAGAAAACGGGAAUAAACCGACUGUCCCCCCUCAGUGGUUUUUACUAGUCCUGUGGGCAGCCUGGAUGUGCUAGCUACACCUUCCCCACAUGUUGUUAGGCCUGGUUUGUGAGAUAGAAGAUGGAGUACCUGACCACCUUUGGCCUCUAUCAGGGGUGGGAAUAUGACUCUCACUGGUGACAAGGGCCUAGGUGGCAAAUGAAGUGGUUUGAGCAGUAACUCUGGGUGCAGGACAUUGAGCAUAUCCUGCUACCACAUGCUUCACCCCCCAUUGUCACCCCACAUCCUGGGCAUGGGAGUGGCCCCUUUAACCCUACCCUGCCAAGAAAACCAAACAGGGAAAACAAAGAUGUAGGACUAUUGACCUAGCUCUUUAACUUGUAGCCAGCUGUCGUCGUUGGUCUGGCAAGAGGGCUCAUGGAGGAAGUCUGUCUGCCUCCCAGGAUAGCAGAUGAGGUGCCUUCCCAGUGGACCCUGCUGCUGCUCGCUUGCUGCAGAGAAUUGUUUGCACUAAACCCCACUCUUCCCCCAAAGCAACAUUGUUCUUUGUUAAUUAGCUCAUGUAUCUCAGAGUGGCCUGAAGCCCCAUUUUGCUGGGUGAUGGUGGGUGUGUCAGGGCUGGUGGUGGGAGGGAAUGAUGGGACCUUGUCACUCAGUGCACACCCAGCUGCCUAGUGUCCUGAGUGCCUGUUAAAUUCUUUAUGAGAGGAAUCACCUGCAUUAAACCUAUUUUUUUAAUGUGCUGAUGGAGUGAUUGCUUACGUUUUUCCUGUGCUGG
rnacentral:lncRNA from 1 species